CUAGUGAACACACGCGAUUAUUAUUUGUUUUUCUCUAACCCCCUCCGUCUUUGUAACAAGCGAUACCACCCGACGUUGGACCAGAGAGCUCCAAAAAAAGUCAAGAGCGAAAAGGUGCUAAUUUUCUCUUGAAAAUGAGCGCAGGCCCGAAGCCAGAGCCCCGCCAGGCCCCGAGAGAGCGGAACUCGCCGAAGCCCCCAACCGCCAACUCCAGUAGUGCUCCCGCAGAGCGCCCGCAGCGCCGCCGUGACAAUGCGGAGCGCCGUGAGGGUGGUGAGCGUGGUGAGCGCGGCGAUCGCCGUGAUCGUCCAGAGCGCCAGGAGCGUCCCCGCCGCCCGCAGGCGGGACUGGCUGCCGCUGUGGAGAGGAGCAAGCCAGCUACCGAGGAGAAAGCGCAUGGUCCAGUUGUGCACGUGAAGGGUGACAUUGCGUCGGGGUCGACGUGGGCGAAGAACGGUAGCGGCCCAUCGUUUGCGGAUAUGGUGCGUCAGCGCACCAGCGUGGGGGCUGGGGCCCUCGCCGCCAAAGAGACCCCCUCUCCACUGAAAAGGGCGCAGUCACAGGUGCAGACGCCGCCGCCGCCGCCGGAGCCGCCGCAGUCGCAGCCCGAGUCUGUGCAGCAGUCCGUGCCCGCGCAGCCGGAGGAGUCAUCUGAGGAGGAGGUGGUGGUAAACACCGUCCAAGCCCCUGCCGUGAUGGAGAUGGAGCCGAUUCCUGAGCCGCCGGCGCCUGUGGCGCUUGUGAUUGCGCCGCACUACGUACUGGAGAUUGAACGCGUCGUGUCCGUGAAGCUGCCUCCCCGUGUGACGCAGACGGCAGAGACGCAGCGCGGCCUCUACAUGUUCUCAGCCCAGGCCGGCAAGCCUCCGACCCCUCCGCCGACGGUUCAGCAGCACGCUGUGUACCGCCCCGACACGGCGAACCUCGGAACGCGGCAGUGGUCCCUGGGCACUGACUCGCGCAUUCAGCAGCCCCCCCAGCAGCAGCAUGCUUGGCCUUCGGCUAGCCAGUUCGACUACUGGAACAACGCCCCAGAGCGCGUUCAGGCGUCCCGGCCGUUCAUGGGCACCCAGGCACAGGCGCCGUACAACUCGUACCCCUCGGCGGUGCCUCUCGCGCACCAGCGCGCCACCGGCAAUGCGUUCCCCGUUCGCUUCCGUUCCAGCGAGGUGCCCGAGUCGGCCUUGCGGCAGCCGUCCGCUGUCCCCUUUAACCGUGCUUCCCAGCCGACUAACGGCGGUGGCGUGUGGUAGACGAAGCUGGUGAAUGUGAGACCGUUUGUGGUGAGAGACAGGUGCCCUUCCGUACCGUCGAAUCACAUUGUGUCUUGACAAGGAGAGAAGGAGAGGCAACUGAGCAAGCGAGAAUUGUUCGUGUCAAAGAGAAACACAACAUGCGUGACCGCAUCCUGACGAAGGCAGCAGUCUUUUCUUCGCACCUCACUCGCCUCACCCAAAACGGCCACCAUCGCCACGCGCGGCUCUUCCUCCUCCUCCGUUGAAACACACACACACACACACACACAAAGAUGAAGGAUUUUCCGCACGUCUCUCCCCCAACAGUAUAUCCCCGUCAAGAUGAGCUUCUCGCAGUAGUCCUCAUCACGCCAAGGCCUCUGUCUGUGUGUUUUGCGUUUGUGUGCACGUCUCCGUGCCUGCAUCCUUUUCUUUUCGUAAGUAACAACAGCAAACAACAACACAACCGACGGUCGGGGACGGCCGCAAUAGACGAAAUCGUGGCAACAGAAGAAGAGAAGCACACGAAAAAACAGAAAGACGGCCAACAUCAUGCACAAGACGGCGAGAGCACAUGGAGACGACGGUGACCGGCGCGCCACACUAUGCCGGACACUCCCUCCUCUCUCUCGCUCGGUGUUGCGUAUCUUGCGUAUGCUCAUUCUCCUGUUUUGCUGUCCUCGGCCUAGAUAAAGGCCACCUUCGGCUAUACUGCUCGACGUGCGUGUUGUACGCCGUUGUUGUUCUUCAUUCUAGCGCGAAUACUACCCCUCCCCCUUGUUGUCUACAAGUGGAGGAGGGCACCACGGCGUGGUACCUGUUUGCGAUGGUUACACACUUGACAGGGUCUCUCUGUCUCCAUGGCUAUGCACACAUGCGCACGUUUAGACUACGAUAUCUGCGAUUCGCGCUCUCUUGUACCGCACAUCCUUGUCUUCAUGUCGUUCCUCGGCGCCAUUGGCGCGUUCAUCGGUGGUGUUCAAUGGGCUGUUGAUCAUGCUUUUAUUCUAAAUUCUUUUUUUUUCCGCAAG
rnacentral:misc_RNA from 1 species